AUUGAACGCUGUCUGCAGGCUUAACACAUGCAAGUCGAACGAGUGGCGGACGGGUGAGUAAUGAUUGGUAAUCUAGCUUAUGACGGGGGUUAAAGACGGGACACUGUCCAUAAUACCGCGUACCCUCGGGUGCGCCCAAGUGGUAUUAUGUAGUUGAUGAGGUAAAGGCUAACCAAGCCGACGAUCUCUAGCUGGUCUGAGAGGAUGACCAGCCACCAGGGAACUGGGACACUGCCCAGACGCCUACGGGAGGCAGCAGUGGGGAAUAUUGCGCAGUGGGGGCAACCUGACGCAGCCAUGCCGAGUGAAUGAAGAAGGCCUGCGGGUUGUAAAGUUCUUUCGGUAGCGAGGCGUUAACUACAGAAGAAGCACCGGCUAACUCCGUGCCAGCAGCCGCGGUAAUAC
rnacentral:rRNA from 1 species